rnacentral:rRNA from 1 species
UACGUAGGGGGCAAGCGUUGUCCGGAUUUAUUGGGCGUAAAGAGCGUGUAGGCGGCCACACAGGUCUGCUGUGAAAACUCGAGGCUCAACCUCGAGCUGUCGGUGGAAACCGUGUGGCUAGAGUCCGGAAGAGGAGAGUGGAAUUCCUGGUGUAGCGGUGAAAUGCGCAGAUAUCAGGAGGAACACCGGUGGCGAAGGCGGGUCUCUGGGCCGAUACUGACGCUGAGGAGCGAAAGCGUGGGGAGCGAACAGG